GGCCCUGUAGCUCAGUUGGUUAGAGCAGCCGGCUCAUAACCGGUAGGUCCCUGGUUCGAAUCCAGGUGGGGCCA
rnacentral:tRNA from 1 species